AGUCGAGCGGGGUGNUGGUGCUUGCACUAUCACUUAGCGGCGGACGGGUGAGUAAUGCUUAGGAAUCUGCCUAUUAGUGGGGGACAACAUUUCGAAAGGAAUGCUAAUACCGCAUACGUCCUACGGGAGAAAGCAGGGGAUCUUCGGACCUUGCGCUAAUAGAUGAGCCUAAGUCGGAUUAGCUAGUUGGUGGGGUAAAGGCCUACCAAGGCGACGAUCUGUAGCGGGUCUGAGAGGAUGAUCCGCCACACUGGGACUGAGACACGGCCCAGACUCCUACGGGAGGCAGCAGUGGGGAAUAUUGGACAAUGGGCGCAAGCCUGAUCCAGCCAUGCCGCGUGUGUGAAGAAGGCCUUAUGGUUGUAAAGCACUUUAAGCGAGGAGGAGGCUACUUUAGUUAAUACCUAGAGAUAGUGGACGUUACUCGCANAAUAAGCACCGGCUAACUCUGUGCCAGCAGCCGCGGUAAUACAGAGGGUGCAAGCGUUAAUCGGAUUUACUGGGCGUAAAGCGCGCGUANGCGGCUAAUUAANUCAAAUGUGAAAUCCCCGAGCUUAACUUGGGAAUUGCAUUCGAUACUGGUUAGCUAGAGUGUGGNAGAGGAUGGUAGAAUUCCNGGUGUANCGGUGAAAUGNGUANAGAUCUGGAGGANUACCGAUGGCNANNNCAGCCNUNUGGNCUAACACUGACGCUNANGUGCGAAANCAUGG
rnacentral:rRNA from 1 species